ensembl:lncRNA
GUUGUUGUUUUUUUUAAGAGUUUGACUCAGGAAGUUUGUCUUUUAAGAGAAAACCUUUUAGAGUGCAAGUCUCAUUUUUAAAAAAUCUUGAUCCCAGUGGAAAAUAAACGUUUUGUGCUUAUUUGUGUUUAGUUUGUAGCAGCACACAGAAAAACGCAGUGUUUCUCAAAUAUAUUUUUGGUUUGACAUCUAUAAUGCAUUCAAUCGAGACAGAACAAUUCCCCUCCAGCUGAGUGGGGGCGGAGACUGACCCGGUUACAUUGUCACCGUGUACAUCCCAGAAACUCAGCAACAAUAGAAAACUGUAGUACAACAAGAAAAAUAAUGACAUAUUAAGGAUCAUACUUUACAAUUGUUAAUCUGUGCCCUUUUCUAUAAAAUUAUUUAGAUAGCCUCCCAGAAACAUUAUGAGUAUAUAUCUUUCCGUUUAUACAAAACAAUCUGUAAAAACAUUCGGUUGUCUUCGCUGAGUUAGGCUUGAUUGAGACAGAUUCAAUAGAGAGGAGCAUGCAAUUUCAGUCAAUUCCUAUGAACCCAGGAAAUGCUGCAUCAGAAGAAAGGAAUUGAAUGACCUUUGCCCUCUUACACAUGCACACUGCCCUAUACUCACACCAUUAGCCAAACAGAGUGGAAAAACAUUUAGAUAAUGAUAUGUACAAAGCUAAUUUACUGUAUCAACCAUAUCAGUCAGAUCAGUGCUGGUGGCAGGACUCAUUCCUGGAAAAACUCUUGCAGCUACAAAUGCACAAAAAUAUAUUAGACAAAUAUUACAAGUGGAGUACAAAAACAGCAAAAGCUCAAGUGCGGACUGAAGAACAAAUGUUAAAUGUAAACAUUUCCAAUUUGCUACAGGUCGAGGAGUGGUCUGAGCGCUUCACAGAUACACUCCAAAUUCAGUUCUUACGUCAUCAUGAAAAAUACUGAGAGACAAAUUUAUCAUGCUGAAAGGAAAGAGUCUAAGAGGAGAGUAGGCAAGUCCACGCUCCAUCAAAAUUGAUUCCAUAGAGGCACCAGAAUGACAUCCAAACACAGGAGACUCUAGUCUGGAUAGUCCUUGUGCAAGUCCCAAGUACACAUGAAAAGAGAGCCAUGUUUCAUGAUUUAAUUGUAGGCCAAAUCAAUCGGAGGAUAUUUGGAGGAUGGCGUGACAUUGUGAUUGCAAGAAAUGAAUCAGUCCCAAGAUUGGACAUAAGAAGGGCUUGUCUAAAACAUAUGCCUCAUCAAGUGUGUAAAUUACUGCGCGCUUGUUGGCCUAUGAUUUGCCAUGGCCAUUUGGGAACAGAGGCGAACUCAUUCCUAACUUGAAUAUAGUAAUACAAUUUUUUUCUGCGUAAUGUGAAAAUUAUUUGAGGACUUUUGGCAAAACCAUGUCACAUUCACCAUUUAUGAGGACUGCAUCAUCAGAAAGGGUGUUACAAGUAGGUUGUUGUGAUUCAGGUAAAGCAUUGGGAAUAAUGUGUGUUACGGUGGGGCUCAGAUGUCCAUGUAGUCGUCCUCCUCGUCCGACUCACUCUCCAGGGAUGACUCCUGACUGGAAGUCUCCUGCACCUCGAGCGCCGGCUGGGUCAGUGUGUCCUUCUUCACUGUGGCGGCCGACUGAGAGGCUAAAAUCACAUUCU